GAGAGAAAAGACAAUCACCAGGCAUCUUGUGAACUUCUAGCAAUGGCUGCAGUGCAUUUAUUUUACACAGAAUUUUCUUACCUGAAGCUGUGGAGCCAAAGAUUGUAUUCUCCUCUCUGUUGUGCAUCUGAAUUUCUGCAAUGGCACUGCUUCAGAGGAGUUGAGUAGAGAAACAAACCUUAUAAGAUUUCACAAUACUAUUAAUGAUCUGGGAAUCUACAUGAUCUUUGUGAGUUUGACCCUGCUGGGCUUCUACACAAAACGAGGUUCCUGUCUCCUGAGGUGCCCUAAAGCUGAGGUCUGCCUUUCAUCUGGUAGCGAGAAACUGCUUCUCGAGGACAGCAAAGCAGCCUUUGUUCUGGUCCUUGUCAGACACAAUCUGUGUCUGGAGAAGUCUUAUUUCCAUGCAUAG
rnacentral:lncRNA from 1 species